UCAGGUAUGGUGUAAUGGCUAACAUUGUCGCCUCUCAUAAGGUAAAUCCAUAAAAGUGCACGGCAGCUCGGGGUUUGAUCCCCCGUACCCGAA